rnacentral:lncRNA from 1 species
ACAGUAGCCAAGCAGGUAUUUAUACCUGACAAUCUUAGAGCAUUUGAUGUUCAAACCUGAAUCCAUGCUGUGGUAAUUUUGACACUGAAAGAUCAGCAGAGUUGGUUCAAGUCAUAGAUCUUGCUCUUGCCUGUGCCUGUUGUCUGUGUUGUAUGAAGUUUCAUUUUAUUUCAGUUUUUUGUCAUUUAAUGGGUGGUUCUUGGCAAGGCCAUUCAAAUUCAUCUGUGAUGUAAUUUUCAGCUUUAAGAGCAAGCAAUGAAGAAGAUUCCAUCAGUCACAAAACUUAAAGAAAAACGUGCAAGUCUGCUCAGACACAUUCCAAGUGAAGAGCAUGCAAACUAUCGAAUCCCAUUGAAUGUUGAUAAAAACAUGCUCCGCUUUUUGUUUUUUUAUUUAUCUUUGUUUUUUUUUCUGUGUUUGUUUUUCUGUGCAGAAAUCUGGAGAAUGUUUCUGGUGACAAGCAUUUACGCAUUAGUAUGCAUUACGAUUAGGGACAAGGACUAUUUUUAUGGUUGCACUUCAGGGCUCCAGCUUGCACUCCCAGUUGAAUCUAUAUGCAUCAUUAUGAAGCGCAACAUCUCCUGGCCAGCAUCGAGAUAUAGUCGAAUGCUCGAUGAAUGCUGGAAUGUUGAAAUGGUGCAACAGUCGGAGAACUUUGUUCUCUGAUUUCUACCCGCAAUAGCAUGCAGAGAAUGUGUUCUACACUAAGUGAGAGAAUAUGCUUUCCAUAAAAUUUCAAGCAGAUAGUAGGUCCUCCCAUUACUCUCACAUACAUUUGAACUCUGCACAGCAGACGUAGUAGAGCAAAUAGAACAACGGAGUGCAUCUCAGAAACCCUAAUUUCAUUUCUUGCAGAAAUUCGGCCUCCAGGUCGUCAACAUCAAGUGAACACCACCACACUGGUAUCAGAAACAAUUUAUAGCUGUACGCUACAAUAAUCUGUCUCGCACUGUGGCUUUUUUGAAGAAUCAAUCGCCCUCACUAUAUAACUGCAGACUUCUUUCUUUUUUUAGUUUUUUAGUGUUUCUUUUCUUUUCUUCUUCUUCUUUCCUCGUUUCAGAGAAUCUCCAUCACGUUGCAUCUACUGGCAGCCUGAUAUCCUGUCACAUUUGCAGCAAUAUUGUCACCUCUAAGAGCAAGCGAUUGACAGUCCGCCACUUGAUGGACCACUUCUGACCAUGAAACUAAUCACUCUAGUCCACAUACUUGUGGCCUUGACCCUUAGGUGGAACCCAGAGCUAUUACUCAAGAUGCUGGGUCGGAGGACGGAAGUGAGAAGCCUUUACCUACAAACUCCAUCGCCCUCUGACUCUCUCCCCUUUCGUUGCUUCUGACGUCGUCCAAUAUUGCUCCCUCUAUAUACUAAUCAAACCACUCGGCUUGUAUGAGUCGAUGCUGCAUUCUUUCACAACUGGGUGCCUCUAGAUCUUGUUUCUGAAGUUUGUAGGUGCAAAUCAACAUACUUCAAAAAACUCGCAUUCUUAUCUUCAUUAGUGAGGGACUGUAAGUAAUGCAGCAGAACGAUCAGUCGGGAGUGCCUAGUUUUUACAUUAGUGAGCACAAUUUUGAGGUGAAAUUUUGCGGUGAAUGUUAACCGCUGAAGAAACUUGAAGAGAGUUGUCAGUUUCCCUGCGUCAUGAGUUUUACUUCGACACCACGUUCUGGAUAUCAUCAGACAGGCUGGAUCUAUCUAGUCCACCACAUCCCACAUAACUUGGACAAGCUCAAGCGCUGCCAAUCUGUCCUUGCAACUGGAACGAAUUCUCCACUCAAGCAAUGCUCUCAAGUCCAAGUGUAGACAAGAAGCAAAAGCACCCCCAAAGGCAAAAGCGAAAGCAAGCAACAGGUGGAGCAUAGAAAAAGCCCUUCUGCUGCGGCACAGGUUUCCCGCACAGUUGACAAAAGCCACAAGAAUCCUGUCCUGCAGCAACACCAGGAUUGGGAUCUCUAACUCUCUCUCUCUCUCUCUCUCUCUCUUUUGCUUCUCCUUC